UAGGGCUAGUGCGAAAGAUACUUCACAAGUGGUUGAUUUGGUAUCUUACUACGGCAGAGUGAUAGACAUCAUACUAUUAGAUUAUAAUGUUUUUUAUGUUCCUCUCUUCCGGUGUCACUGGGCAGUAAUGGGUAAUGGAGCUAAGAUAGAAGAUGGUUUCACACUAGUUAACAUGAAUCAUAGUCAAGUCUCUUUUUUAAAAGAUCCAUAUAUAUUAGCAUCGCAAGCAAAGCAGGUGUUUUACUUAAGGGAAGACGCAGAAUCAAGUUGGCAUGUUGUUAUGCAAGUUCCUUCAAGAAGAUAUAAUAAAGAUUUGGAUGAUGGAAUUGCAGACAUUGGACCAUUACCAGCAAAUGUGGACAUGGAUGUUCACAUGGAUGAAUCUGAAAAUGCCCGAACUGAUUGUGAAGGCAUAUUUGUCUGAAAUGGAGUCUGUUUGUCAUUUACAUUGUUGUUGUUUUAUUUGCUAUGUCUGAUGACUACUUGGUGAGUUGACAUGGGACCAAAGAAAGUAACAAACCGUGGAGGGAGAAAAAAGAAGAAAGAUUCUGAAGAGCCAGAAUUCUUGGG